AGACUGGGUCGAGGGCCAUAUUUCUCCCUCAUGUCUUGCUUUACUAAACUGGAAUUUUCUUCACCCGAAGUUGAAGAUUUCUUACGGAAUUCUUUUAAAUCAAUAGAGGAUGAAGAUCAUAAGGAAAGCUUAACAAGUAAAACGAAUCAUGAAGAAGAUUCCUGGUUUGAUUUGCUACUGAAAUGUCUAACUAUACCACCACUAUUUACAACUGUAAGAGUUAAUACUUGUAAGAUCUCUGUUGAAGAUGCUAAAAAGCAGCUGGAAAAAUUUCUUUACAUGCAAUACAAAUCAAAAGGGCAGGACUGUCCAGUAGUCCGUCCACAUCAUUCUCUUCCAGAUGUCCUUGUCAUACCAGGAACAGGACCGCAUGACAUGACGCCAUCCAGAAAGGAGAUCAUAGUAGACACCAUCUGUGGGACGGCCGUUCUAAGAGGUGCUGAUGUCUUUGCGCCUGGAGUCAUGGGUGCUCAUCCAGGAAUACAAAAGGGAGAUGAAGUUUCAGUGUAUGCAGACCUUGAUAAUGGCUGCCGCAAGGGAUUCGCUAAGCCUUAUGAAGGAAGAAAGAUGUUUGUUGGUAAUGGAACGGCGCUCAUGUCAAGGAGUGACAUUUUUUGUGACAAUUCGAAUAUCAGCGGCGUUGCCAUACAGAUGAAUAAUGCUUUAUAUGACUGUCCAUCAUUGAGUGGUGUCUUACCGGGUCUGGUAUUCCCUCAGAACCUGCCGUCAGUUGUAACAGGACAUGUUCUUGGUCCUCAGCCUGGAGAGACAAUACUGGAUAUGUGUGCUGCACCAGGGGGUAAAACAACACAUCUUGCCACUCUGAUGGAUAACAAGGGUGUGGUCAUAGCAUUUGAUAAAAAUUCCCCCAAAGUCCAGAAGAUAAAAUCAAACUGUGACGCAAUGCACCUGAAAAACGUUCACGCUUUUCACUUUGACGCUAUCAAAUCUCUGGAUCCAACAUUACAAUCAAGACAAAUCAACCCAGAAGAUGUUGGUCACCCUCCCUACCCCCCACAGUCGUUUGACCGCAUACUUCUUGAUGCACCUUGCAGUGGACUAGGACAGAGACCGAUGUCUAUAGUGCGCAUGUCUCUCAAGGAUCUUCAGUCCUUUCCUAGACUACAGAAGAAAAUAUUUCCUGCUGCGGUUGGUUUGUUGAAGGAAGGAGGUGUUCUUGUCUAUUCUACUUGUACAAUCACCUCACAAGAGAAUGAAGAGCUCGUGGCCUGGGUACUAACAAACUUUCCCUGCAUGCAUCUUUGCCCUCAGAAUCCAUUUCUUGGGAGCCCAGGCCUCGCGCACUGUGGUCUUACAGAUGAAGAAAGGAGACUGGUCCAGAGGUUUGACCCCACUACUACUCACAGUACCCCCCCACGGGAGCCAUGUGACGUCGAUACUAUUGGAUUUUUUAUCGCGAAGUUUGUCAAGAAAACUGUUGGCUAGUGAUCUGCUUGGUUGGAACGACGAUAUAGAAGAAUCUAUCAAUGCUGAGUGCUGUGAGCGAGAGGAUUGACACAAGCAGGCAUGCAUGGUGAAUAACGGGCACUAGCUUACAAAGUACUAGUCCUAAAGUCCCUUCAACAAGCCAAUGUGAGCCAUCAACCACCAUCACCAUCAUCCUUGGCAUGUAUACUAAUGUUAUCAAUCAGCGUGUUGCCGAUGAACGAAGCGAUGAAGAUGAUAAUGUAGAAGAAAACUUUGGCCGUUUUGACGCUUGUUAGGUCAUUUACAAAGCAAAGAGAGAGUGCCUUUGUGCUUGUUGGAGUAGUGGCGUUCCUGUUUGUGCUGCUUGAUAUGACUGUUGCAUUCAUCGUACCUAAAAGAAUUAAUAAGCUUUCUGUAUUAUUGUAUUAUAAAUGAAAAACAAACUUUUUCUAUUUUAAAAGGUUAACAUUUGUGAAAGAUUUUUAUUAUAAUGGCAGUGAAGUUACGUAUGCAAAGUCCGGCUUUAUUCAAAUACAGAGACUGUAAACCAAAACCCUACAAAAACACGACUGUUCAAAUCUUCCAUAGACACCAAACAAAUCCAAAAGUGUGAAACUUUGCAGCUGUAAUAACGUUCGAGAUAGUUGAGGGUCUUUGAUACAGUGCGACGUGUUCUUGGAUACAUUGCUAUGGUCAAUGAUUGACACCAUGGAAAUAAUGCGUAUUAUAAUAUUGCGUUUGGUCUGGU
rnacentral:misc_RNA from 1 species